rnacentral:rRNA from 1 species
CUGCGGAAGGAUCAUUAUUGAAAUAAACCUGAUGGGUUGUUGCUGGCUCUCUAGGGAGCAUGUGCACACCUUGUCAUCUUUAUAUCUCCACCUGUGCACCUUUUGUAGACCUUUCAGGUCUAUGUUGCUUCAUUUACCCCCAAUGUAUGUCAAUAGAAUGUUGUGCCUAUAAAAUCUAUACAACUUUCAGCAACGGAUCUCUUGGCUCUCGCAUCGAUGAAGAACGCAGCGAAAUGCGAUAAGUAAUGUGAAUUGCAGAAUUCAGUGAAUCAUCGAAUCUUUGAACGCACCUUGCGCUCCUUGGUAUUCCGAGGAGCAUGCCUGUUUGAGUGUCAUUAAUAUAUAUAUCAACCUUCUCUUGUUUGAGUGGUUUGGAUGUGGGGGUUUGCUGGCUUCUUAAAAGGGUUCAGCUCCUCUGAAAUGCAUUAGCAGAACAACCUGUUCAUUGGCGUGAUAACUAUCUAUGCUAUUGAAUAUCAGGGGGCAGUUCAGCUUUCUAACAGUCCUGGACAAUUUAUCAUUUAUGUGACCUCAAAUCAGGUAGGACUACCCGCUGAACUUAA